rnacentral:lncRNA from 1 species
GUACAGAAAGCCAUCCAACAAGGACCCCAGCCUGCUCCUCUAGAAGCUUUUCUGGCUGGCAUCCCUCCCGGGUAGAUGGAGCACUUGCUUGUGCAUGGGGCAAGACCUGGGAAUUGGGUCUGGGCUGGAGAUGUUGGUACUCAGCUGGAAACGGGUGCCCCGGUCCCUGGAGAGGAGCCUGAAUUUGGAGACCUAGUGCUCAGGACCUGGGCUGGAAAAGGUGCGUGGCCAGGUCGAGGUGAGCGAAGGUGCAUUUGUCAGUGGGAGCUGAGAAGGAGCAGCAGCACCAGCGGUGGCAGAUGAAGUGUAAGAAGAGGGGGAAAAAAAAGAGAUUUCUGUGGAAGGUCUACUGUCAGAUAUACUGCCCCAUGCUUUCACUUUAUUGUGAUGGCAGAUCUUCCUUUCCAGCCCAGAUGGACCUGAGUUUUUAGAGAAAGGCAGCAUUUCUGGCUGAGACAUCUCCAAUACACACUGUUCACAGGAGAGUCAAAUCUUGAUUUGAUGUCAAAGCCAUGAUAGGAAACUUUUUUUUUAUCAUUUCAUUAUUUCUGUGAAUCAAACCAUGUGUCUGAAAUCCUUUAACUUUCUUUCUGAGAGAAUGAUAUACUAAAUUCAGAGCUGGAUAAACAUUAAAACAGGAACAUUAUCUGUGUGGAUUGUAGGUCCUUUAUCAGAGAUUCAGAAUGAAGUCUGUACAGCUGCAUGUCGUUCCUGGUUAAUGUAAUCAAUACACCACUCUCUUGCCCUGUUACAGGCAGGUUACGUUUCUCUGGUUCUGGCCAGUGAAUUUUGAAAUAUAGCUUGCAUAAAUUUGCCUACUUCUCACUGUGUCCAUUAGAAAAUGCUUUUAACUAUCUCAAAAUCAGACUUUCAAGUAUAACCAUUUCUCCCCUCUGUGAUUUGCUAUGGAAAUUUCACCUGGAAAAUCAAAGCUUUUAAGGGGUCAUUUCUACUUUCGUCUUUUCCUUUUGAGGUCCUAAUACAUCAAAAAUCUAUACUUGGAAGCAUACCUCUCUACUCAAACAUUUAAAAUACCUGGAGUUCUUCAUGGUCUAGAAUGACUGAAACCAUGAGCAUCUCACCACAUCUGUGAGAACACAAGACUCGCCAGAGCUUGAGGUGAGGUCCCAAAUCAUGUGAAAGCUUGGGACACUUGGCUGAAGCAGAGCAGGAACACAUCAGGACUUGAUAAAAACUGGACAGACAAAAUCCUAAGAGGCCUUAUUUUCUAGAGGAAAAAAGGCCUGAGCUG